AGUGAACGCUGGCGGUAUGCCUAACACAUGCAAGUCGAACGGCAGCACAGUAAGAGCUUGCUCUUACGGGUGGCGAGUGGCGGACGGGUGAGGAAUACAUCGUAAUCUACUUUUUCGUGGGGGAUAACGUAGGGAAACUUACGCUAAUACCGCAUACGACCUACGGGUGAAAGCAGUGGAUCUUCGGACCUUGCGCGAUUGAAUGAGCCGAUGUCGGAUUAGCUAGUUGGCGGGGUAAAGGCCCACCAAGGCGACGAUCCGUAGCUGGUCUGAGAGGAUGAUCAGCCACACUGGAACUGAGACACGGUCCAGACUCCUACGGGAGGCAGCAGUGGGGAAUAUUGGACAAUGGGCGCAAGCCUGAUCCAGCCAUACCGCGUGGGUGAAGAAGGCCUUCGGGUUGUAAAGCCCUUUUGUUGGGAAAGAAAAGCAGCAGGUUAAUACCCCGCUGUUCUGACGGUACCCAAAGAAUAAGCACCGGCUAACUUCGUG
rnacentral:rRNA from 1 species